CGCCGCGUGGAGGAUGAAGGCCUUCGGGUUGUAAACUCCUGUCAGUAGGGAAGAGAGCGGACGGUACCUACUGAGGAAGCUUCGGCUAACUACGUGC
rnacentral:rRNA from 1 species